rnacentral:lncRNA from 10 species
GACCACUUUAGCCUCUUGUUGGAAAACAAUGAAGAAAAUAGCUACCAUUAAUGGAGCUCCUGCUCUGUGCCAGGGACUGUGCCAUGUACUUCACUCUGAGAAGCAAAACAGCCCGAGGGUACCCAGGCCAGGAGGGCCCUGCUUAUCCCCAUUUGAAAUGGGAAAAAGCCUCUGAUUAAACCGCUUGCCCAAGUCUCCUGGCAGUAAGUGGUGGAGCAGGAUUUCGUCCCAGCCUCAUGCUGUUUCCACAUCCCCACAGUGGCCCCGGGCUGUGCUCCUUCCCUGGACCUGAGCUUCACUAUUGGACCAGAUGAGCCUCUCGGAUCCAUCCCAGCCUGGCACGUCUAGAUCCUGCCUCCCAACGCAGGCUGCUGAGAUGUUCACUUGAAUCUCUCACCAUGGACAUUACCCAAACAUUACCUAAUGUUUUCCAGAGAGAAGAAUCCUAUUUCUUUCUGUGUUUUAGAUUCCAAACCAAAAAGGGACAUAAUUGUGUGGUGAAAAUAACAAGGGACUUCAAAUCAGAAAACCC